rnacentral:rRNA from 1 species
GAUGAACGCUGGCGGCGUGCCUAAUACAUGCCAGUCGAGCGAACAGACGAGGAGCUUGCUCCUCUGACGUUAGCGGCGGACGGGUGAGUAACACGUGGAUAACCUACCUAUAAGACUGGGAUAACUUCGGGAAACCGGAGCUAAUACCGGAUAAUAUAUUGAACCGCAUGGUUCAAUAGUGAAAGACGGUUUUGCUGUCACUUAUAGAUGGAUCCGCGCCGCAUUAGCUAGUUGGUAAGGUAACGGCUUACCAAGGCAACGAUGCGUAGCCGACCUGAGAGGGUGAUCGGCCACACGGGAACUGAGACACGGUCCAGACUCCUACGGGAGGCAGCAGUAGGGAAUCUUCCGCAAUGGGCGAAAGCCUGACGGAGCAACGCCGCGUGAGUGAUGAAGGUCUUCGGAUCGUAAAACUCUGUUAUAGGGAAGAACAAAUGUGUAAGUAACUAUGCACGUCUUGACGGUACCUAAUCAGAAAGCCACGGCUAACUACGUG